GUUCGUUCUUUGGGUGUGAUGGCCGCCGCCAGGGCAGGAAUUGGGGGAUUCUGUUAUUCCGGACGGCUUGGGGGGCUCUCUGUACCAUCAGAAGGCCACCGACAGCCCCCAGGUUACCGAGGGCCUGUUAAUUGUGUGCCAGGGAGGUGGGGAGCGGUGUGUUGGGUUAAGCUUGGGGCCUGGUGUCGCUAGAUCGGCCUGGGGGCCUCUGGCAGCUAAGGGCUAGAUGAGGGGCUCCAACCUGCCAGACCCUAGCCGUCUGGGCUUUCAGCCUUCAAAAUAUCUGGGUGGCCAGCGCCUAAGCAUUUUGGAGCAUGCCUUGUUUUGUUGUGGUUUGUAUCCUGCACCUCUCCCACUUUUCUUACAGUGUUGUACUGUGUUCCUGUAGUCGUUGAUGCUCAGGACCCUAUUUGAGGUUAGGUUGGGCUUGUUUUCUUGGGUCUGGUGGGAUUUGUGCAACAGGUGAAAUUUGGGGAAGUCUGAAGGGCAAUAUCCUGAGUGUUGUCUGUCUUGUUUUCGGUGUGAGAAACUGCGUGAGUGGUGAACGUGCCCCUGAACGUGUGCUUCACCUUCUCUUGCGUGUGGUGAACCUUGCCCCUGUUUCCUAAUGCCCACAGGCCGUGCUCCGCAGUUCCUCCUUAUGAAAUGCCUUUCUGUUAACUUGGAUGUGUUCUUAAACCUUUGUGAGCCUCUGGAAGACUGCUUUGCAGUUGGUCGUAGAACAGUAUUGUAGAACAGUAUUGCAAAAAGUGAAUGUGAAACAAAUACCCUUAGUUCUAGGGAGCAAGCCCUUUGACCUUAGUGGUGCUGUGGGGUGAUUUGGUUACUUAAGGGAAUCAGAUUUGCUUUUAGAUGCCUUACCUUACUCUUGGCUCCCAGGGUUCCUCUGCCUGUUGGUACACUUUGAUCUUACUUGUUUUUCCAUACUCUCUCAGCUUGAGUCAAAAUGGGACACUGUGUACUGACAUGUAACUGCAUGUAUCAGAAUCUCUGGAUAACACCAAAUUGCCAAGCAGAGAGCCCUUCUGGACAUUUGUGAGUAGACACAUCUCCAAGAAAUGACAGUGCCAGAGCACUUGAACAGGGUUGGGGAGGAACAGAGAGAGUGGGAGAGAGAGAAUCUUAAGCAGGAUCCAUGUGCAUCAUGGAGCCCAGUGCAGGGCUUGAGAUCAUGAUCUGAGCUGAAUCAAGAGUUGGGUGCUCAAUGGACUGAACCUCCCAGAUGUCCCCAAUUUUUUUCAUUCUAACACAAGAUUUAAAAAAGAAAACUAAUGGUAAAGUAAAUGAAACUGACUUGUAGUCUUCUACCUGAAGAGGAAAACUUGGAAAGAACAUAAUUUAUAGAAAUGUAAAAGUUUGAGAUAUGUAAUUUUGAGUUUUAUCAAUCAGUAAGAGAAGAUAGAAAGGCUAAGCCAUGGUUUGACAGUUCACAAAAGAAAAAACAAUAAUGUCAUUGCAUAACGUAGCAGAUUAUGUUUUCCAAAGAUGACCACAGCAAUAUCUCCCAGCUGACAUGUUCUUCUGCAGUGUGAUUGAUGUCACUCUGUCAUCAAAACGUGGCAUCUCUCCACUUCUUUAAUUUUGAGUAGGCUUUUUGACUGCUUAGACCAAAAGAACAUGGUAGAAUGGAUGAUAUCCUAGUUACAGGUGUUGUUCUUACCUCACCUGGCAAUUUCUUCCUGCCUUUUGGAACCCACCCACUAAGUAAGAGAUGUAAUUACCUUCAAAUUACUAUGUUCUAAGAAGGCCAAAGUCAUCUAAUGAACUCCUGGAGGAUAAAACAUCUGGAGAGGCCAAGGAGCAUUGAGGAACCAGACAUGUAAGUGAAGAAGCCAUUUUGGAAAUGAAUCCUCCAGCCCCACCUGCCAUUGGCUGUUGCUUUGUAAAUCAGAUGAACCACCCAGGAGAGCCCUUCUCAAUUUUUGGCCCACAAAAUCAUGAGCAAAAUAAAAUGGUUUCUUUUAAACUUA